rnacentral:rRNA from 1 species
GACGGGUCAUUCAAAUUUCUGCCCUAUCAACUUUCGAUGGUAAGGUCUUGGCUUACCAUGGUUUCAACGGGUAACGGGGAAUUAGGGUUCGAUUCCGGAGAGGGAGCCUGAGAAACGGCUACCACAUCCAAGGAAGGCAGCAGGCGCGCAAAUUACCCAAUCCCGACACGGGGAGGUAGUGACAAUAAAUACUGAUACAGGGCUCUUUUGGGUCUUGUAAUCGGAAUGAGUACAAUUUAAACCCCUUAACGAGGAACAAUUGGAGGGCAAGUCUGGUGCCAGCAGCCGCGGUAAUUCCAGCUCCAAUAGCGUAUAUUAAAGUUGUUGCAGUUAAAAAGCUCGUAGUUGAACCUUGGGCCUGGCUGGCCGGUCCGCCUCACCGCGUGCACUGGUCCGGCCGGGCCUUUCCUUCUGGAGAGCCGCAUGCCCUUCACUGGGCGUGUUGGGGAACCAGGACUUUUACUUUGAAAAAAUUAGAGUGUUCAAAGCAGGCCUUUGCUCGAAUACAUUAGCAUGGAAUAAUGGAAUAGGACGUGCGGUCCUAUUUUGUUGGUUUCUAGGACCGCCGUAAUGAUUAAUAGGGAUAGUCGGGGGCAUCAGUAUUCAAUUGUCAGAGGUGAAAUUCUUGGAUUUAUUGAAGACUAACUACUGCGAAAGCAUUUGCCAAGGAUGUUUUCAUUAAUCAGUGAACGAAAGUUAGGGGAUCGAAGACGAUCAGAUACCGUCGUAGUCUUAACCGUAAACUAUGCCGACUAGGGAUCGGGCGAUGUUUCUAUCUUGACUCGCUCGGCACCUUACGAGAAAUCAAAG